UGGGGAAUAUUGCACAAUGGGCGCAAGCCUGAUGCAGCAACGCCGCGUGAGGGAUGACGGCCUUCGGGAUGUAAACCUCUUUUAGCAGGGAAGAAGCGAAAGUGACGGUACCUGCAGAAAAAGCGCCGGCUAACUACGUGCCAGCAGCCGCGGUAAUACGUAGGGCGCAAGCGUUGUCCGGAAUUAUUGGGCGUAAAGAGCUCGUAGGCGGUCUGUCGCGUCUGCUGUGAAAUCCCGAGGCUCAACCUCGGGCUUGCAGUGGGUACGGGCAGACUAGAGUGCGGUAGGGGAGAAUGGAAUUCCUGGUGUAGCGGUGGAAUGCGCAGAUAUCAGGAGGAACACCGAUGGCGAAGGCAGUUCUCUGGGCCGUAACUGACGCUGAGGAGCGAAAGCGUGGGGAGCGAACAG
rnacentral:rRNA from 1 species